rnacentral:tRNA from 1 species
GCCUUCGUGGUUUAAUGGUUAGCAUACUCAGCGCGUAAUCGAAAGGUCCGUGGUUCGAGUCCCGGCGAGGGCA